UUCUCUACAGAUCUUGUUAACAUGCAGAUUCUGAUUCAGUAGGUCUGGGUGGGGCCUGUGAUUCUGCAUGUCUAACAAGCUUCCAGGAGAUACCAA
rnacentral:pre_miRNA from 1 species